rnacentral:lncRNA from 1 species
AAGCUGGCAGUGUUCUUGUGAAGAAAAGGCUACAAUGACACAUCAGUUAGGAAAGACCUUGGCCAACUUCUGUGUGGAUCACCAUUGAAAGAUUUCUACUUUGGAGUCUCAUGGAGAUCAUCAUCUUACCAUACUAUCUUUUGAGGAAGUAUAAUUUGCUAUCUCUUUGCAUGCUUGAUUUUAUUUUGUUCGAUAUCUACAAGGUGUUUCUAAGAUUUGGGUUUCGAUUUGAUAGUUUUAAAUGUUAAAUUUUUCAAUAUAUAUUUUAAAAAUUUUAAAAUUUAUUUUUUACUACAUGAUCAAAACCCAACACGGAU